CCUACGGGAGGCAGCAGUGGGGGAUAUUGCACAAUGGGGGAAACCCUGAUGCAGCGACGCCGCGUGUGGGAAGACGGUCCUCUGGAUUGUAAACCACUGUCCCCAGGGACGACGAUGACGGUACCUGGGGCGGAAGUUCCGGCUAACUACGUGCCAGCAGCCGCGGUAAUACGUAGGGAGCGAGCGUUGUCCGGAAUUACUGGGUGUAAAGGGAGCGUAGGCGGGGAUGCAAGUUGGGUGUCAAAACUACCGGUUCAACUGGUAGUCGCACUCAAAACUGCAGCUCUUGAGUGAAGUAGAGGCAGGCGGAAUUCCUAGUGUAGCGGUGAAAUGCGUAGAUAUUAGGAGGAACACCAGUGGCGAAGGUGGCCUGCUGGGCUUUUACUGACGCUGAGGCUCGAAAGUGUGGGGAGCAAACAGGAUUAGAUACCCUUGUAGUC
rnacentral:rRNA from 1 species